GAUGAACGCUGGCGGCGUGCCUAAUACAUGCAAGUCGAGCGAACAGACGAGGAGCUUGCUCCUCUGACGUUAGCGGCGGACGGGUGAGUAACACGUGGAUAACCUACCUAUAAGACUGGGAUAACUUCGGGAAACCGGAGCUAAUACCGGAUAAUAUAUUGAACCGCAUGGUUCAAUAGUGAAAGACGGUUUUGCUGUCACUUAUAGAUGGAUCCGCGCCGCAUUAGCUAGUUGGUAAGGUAACGGCUUACCAAGGCGACGAUGCGUAGCCGACCUGAGAGGGUGGUCGGCCACACUGGAACUGAGACACGGUCCAGACUCCUACGGGAGGCAGCAGUAGGGAAUCUUCCGCAAUGGGCGAAAGCCUGACGGAGCAGCGCCGCGUGAGUGAUGAAGGUCUUCGGAUCGUAAAGCUCUGUUAUUAGGGAAGAACAAAUGUGUAAGUAACUAUGCACGUCUUGACGGUACCUGAUCAGAAAGCCACGGCUAACUACGUG
rnacentral:rRNA from 1 species